rnacentral:lncRNA from 1 species
AAAAAAAUUUUCAGAGGGGGCUAAAUGCAAAAAAAACUUUUUUAAUAUUUUCACCUCUUUAUGUAUAAUUAAAGAAUAAAAAUUAUAAAACUAUAGUUUUUAUGUUUUAUUUAUUACCAAUCAAACAAUCAAUCUGAAAAAUCACUUUUGUAAAAGUCACUUUUACAAAAGUGACUUUUUUUCAUUUCAGCUACUUUCGGACAACUAAAUAUACCUUAGGCUGCAUUUGGUUCGGAUAUAAAUAAGAAUUGCUUAUUCCAGGAAUAGGUACAAGUUCAGGUAUAAGCAGGAACUAAACCAAUUUUGUGUUUGAAUGAAAAUUAGGUUGUUCUUAGGAAUAAGAUAAAUAGUGUUUGGAUGGUUAGAUUGGAACAAGAGGAAUAAGAGUUAUAAUUUAAAAUUAAAAUUAUAUUAUCUAAUUAAUUAACAUCAAAAUAUUACUUAAAAAUAAAUAAUAAAUAAAUUAUUAAUAAUUACUUAUAAAUAAUAAUAAUUAGUAAUAAUUAAUUAUAAUUAAUAAAAUAAUAAUAUCGAUUAUCUAAUUAUUAAUAAUAAUUAUUAAUAAUUAUUAUUAAAUAAUUAUAAAUAAUAAAUUAAUAAUAAUAUCGAUUAUCUAAUUAUUAGUAAUAAUUGUUAAUUAAUAAUAAUCUCGAUUAUCUAAUUAUUAAUAAUAAAAAUUAUUAAUAAUUAAUUAUAAAUAAUAAAUUAAUAAUAUUAAUUAUUAAAUUAUUAAUAAUUAAUUAUAAAUAAUAAAUUAAUAAUUAUUACUAUCUAAUUAUAAAAAAUAAUUCUAAAUAAUAAAUUAUUUAUUUAUUUUAUUAUUUAAGCAAUAAAUAAUAAUUUAAAUAUAUUAAUUAGAUUAAUUAAUAAUUUACUGUCUUUAAAAUUAAAUUUAGACUUUAAUUAUCCUUGUUCUCAUCCGGGAAUAAGCUUGUUCCAGAAAAAGGGUGGAAUAGUAGUUCCAGCCUUAUACCAGUUUAUUUCAGGAACCCGAAAACUACUGUUCUUGGGCACCAAACGUAACGUUUGGGAACAAAGAGGGGAACAAGAGCUUAUCCCCUCCUCUGUUCCCGAACCAAACACUACCUAAAAGAAAAUAAAAAAAGUUGGUGAUGAUAGAAGAAUAUACUUGAAAGGAUAAAUUAGUAAUUUCACAAAAACAAUAGCUUAUUCCUAACCAUUCACUAAAGAAUUUAACUCUAUUGGCUAUAUUUGAAAUAAUUUAAAAAGUUGAAAAGGUAUUUUUAAUUUUAGCCCUUUAAUAGGGAUAAAUAAGAUGUUCUUUCAAUGUGUCAGGUGUCUUCCUUAUAUUUUUCUCUCUCAUGGAGUGUGUGCUCUCACUUUACUUUAAUUUUUAUUUAGUUUAAUUUCAUAUCUUCUCUCUUUCCUCUCCCUCUCUCAUUGAAAAGGAAUUUUUUUUAUAAAUAAUCCUAUUAAUUUUUAUAAUUAUAAAAAUAAUUUUUUUAAAAAAUAAUUAUAAAAAUAGACCUCUAAAUGCGGUGAAUGAUUCACCGCAUUCAUAACUCCUCAUUAGGAGUAGAAAAAGAAUAAAAGCGGUGAACCAUUCACCGCUUUUACUAUCUUAGUAAUAUAGAAAGAAGUGAGAAAUAGAAAGAAAGCGGUAAAUAGUUCACCGUUUUUAAAAGCAGUAAAUUAUUUACUAUUUUUAUAGGACCAUAUUUAUAAAUAAAAACUUUACAGGUCUAUUUUUAGAAUAAAAUUUUAGGAAAAGACUAUCGCACUAAAAAACCCCACUGAAAAGUAUCAUGCUUCUUUUCUCUCUUUCUCAGUUUAAUUUUUAACUUAAUGCUUUUUUUACUCUUUCUUCAAACAAAAUACAUGACUUUUUAAAAAAAUAUAAAAUUUAAAUUUAGUAAUUUUACAUUUUUAAAAAUACUUAACUUUUUACUUUUCUAAAUAUGAGUAAAAUACACUAUAUUUGAAAAUUUAAAAGUGCUCUC